GUUUUCAAACACAGUAAGUAGUUGAAACAAGGUAUGUGAUCAGAUUCUAAAGAGAAAACAGCUUAGAUUGUAUCAGAUUGGUUUUGUCGUUCAUCAAUAUU